rnacentral:rRNA from 1 species
GUGGGGAAUCUUCCGCAAUGGACGAAAGUCUGACGGAGCAACGCCGCGUGAGUGAAGAAGGUUUUCGGAUCGUAAAGCUCUUUCGUUAGGGACGAACGUGCUCUUUGUGAAUAAUGAGGAGUAAUGACGGUACCUAAAUAAGAAGCCACGGCUAACUACGUGCCGGCAGCCGCGGUAAUACGUAGGUGGCAAGCGUUGUCCGGAAUUAUUGGGCGUAAAGCGCGCGCAGGCGGGAUAUCAAGUCUGUCUUAAAAGUGCGAGGCUCAACCUCGUGAGGGGACAGAAACUGGUAUUCUUGAGUGUCGGAGAGGAAAGUGGAAUUCCAAGUGUAGCGGUGAAAUGCGUAGAGAUUUGGAAGAACACCAGUGGCGAAGGCGACUUUCUGGACGAUGUCUGACGCUGAGGCGCGAAAGCUAGGGGAGCGAACGGGAUUAGAAACCCUGGUAGUCC